rnacentral:misc_RNA from 1 species
AAAGCAGUGCGAGAACUAUUUAA